UAGGGAAUCUUCCACGAUGGACGCAAGUCUGAUGGAGCAACGCCGCGUGAGUGAAGAAGGGUUUCGGCUCGUAAAGCUCUGUUGUUAAAGAAGAACGUGGGUAAGAGUAACUGUUUACCCAGUGACGGUAUUUAACCAGAAAGCCACGGCUAACUACGUGCCAG
rnacentral:rRNA from 1 species